rnacentral:sRNA from 12 species
UUCAGGAGGUUCCCCAAUGAUGCGGAGCAUCAUUUUUUGCAUGGGACCGACGAACUGCCUCCGAAGCUUUAGCUGAGGUGGCGACACCAUAA